AGCGAACGCUGGCGGCAUGCCUAACACAUGCAAGUCGAACGAGAUCUUCGGGUCUAGUGGCGCACGGGUGCGUAACGCGUGGGAAUCUGCCCUUUGGUUCGGAAUAACAGUUGGAAACGACUGCUAAUACCGGAUGAUGACGAAAGUCCAAAGAUUUAUCGCCAGAGGAUGAUCCCGCGUAGGAUUAGCUAGUUGGUGUGGUAAAGGCGCACCAAGGCGACGAUCCUUAGCUGGUCUGAGAGGAUGAUCAGCCACACUGGGACUGAGACACGGACCAGACUCCUACGGGAGGAAGCAGUGGGGAAUAUUGGACAAUGGGCGAAAGCCUGAUCCAGCAAUGCCGCGUGAGUGAUGAAGGCCUUAGGGUUGUAAAGCUCUUUUACCCGGGAUGAUAAUGACAGUACCGGGAGAAUAAGCUCCGGCUAACUCCGUGCCAGCCGCCGCCGUAA
rnacentral:rRNA from 1 species